rnacentral:rRNA from 1 species
AACGAACGCUGGCGGCGCGCUUAACACAUGCAAGUCGAACGAGAAGCCGGAGCAAUCCGGUUGUAAAGUGGCAAACGGGUGAGUAAUGCGUGGGUAAUCUACCCUCGGGUGGGGAAUAACUCUUCGAAAGGAGAGCUAAUGCCGACAUGUGCAGCACUUUCGCGAGGAGGUGCUGGAAAGCCGUACCGUGGGUACGGCGCCCAAGGAUGAGCUCGCGUCCUAUCAGCUUGUUGGCGGGGUAACGGCCCACCAAGGCUCCGACGGUAGCUGUCUGAGAGGACGACCAGCCACACUGGCACUGCGACACGGGCCAGACUCCUACGGGAGGCAGCAGUGAGGAAUAUUGCGCAAUGGAACG